AAGGAGUCUAACAUAUAUGCGAGUAUUUGGGUGUCAAACCCGAGUGCGCAAAGAAAGUGAAAGUAGGAGCCACGCGCAAGUUGCAGGUUCGACCGACCUGGAACUUUAUUGAGAGAUUUGAGUAAGAGCAUAUAUGUUGGGACCCGAAAGAUGGUGAACUAUGCCUGAAUAGGGCGAAUCCAGAGGAAACUCUGGUGGAGGCUCGUAGCGAUUCUGACGUGCAAAUCGAUCGUCAAAUUUGGGUAUAGGGGCGAAAGACUAAUCGAACCAUCUAGUAGCUGGUUCCUGC
rnacentral:misc_RNA from 1 species